rnacentral:rRNA from 1 species
GAUGAACGCUGGCGGCGUGCCUAAUAUAUGCAAGUCGAACGCUGGAGAUCUAGCUUGCUAGAUCGAAGGAGUGGCGAACGGGUGAGUAAUACAUAAGCAACCUACCCACGAAGACUGGGAUAAUCUCUGGAAACGGGGACUAAUACCGGAUAGGUAAUCGGAAGGCAUCUUCUGGUUAUUAAAGGUUAAAAACACUGGUGGAUGGGCUUAUGGCGCAUUAGUUAGUUGGUGAGGUAACGGCCCACCAAGACGAUGAUGCGUAGCCGGCCUGAGAGGGUGAACGGCCACAUUGGGACUGAGACACGGCCCAGACUCCUACGGGAGGCAGCAGUAGGGAAUUUUCGGCAAUGGGGGCAACCCUGACCGAGCAACGCCGCGUGAGUGAAGACGGCCUUCGGGUUGUAAAGCUCUGUUGUAAGGGAAGAACGGUAGAUAGAGAAUAUCUAAGUGACGGUACCUUACCAGAAAGCCACGGCUAACUACGUG